rnacentral:rRNA from 1 species
GGGUUGUGAGGUUAAGCGACUAAGCGUACACGGUGGAUGCCCUGGCAGUCAGAGGCGAUGAAGGGCGUGCUAAUCUGCGAUAAGCGCCGGUAAGGUGAUAUGAACCGUUAUAACCGGCGAUACCCGAAUGGGGAAACCCAGUGUGAUUCGUCACACUAUCAUUAACUGAAUCCAUAGGUUAAUGAGGCGAACCGGGGGAACUGAAACAUCUAAGUACCCCGAGGAAAAGAAAUCAACCGAGAUUCCCCCAGUAGCGGCGAGCGAACGGGGAGGAGCCCAGAGCCUGAAUCAGCAUGUGUGUUAGUGGAAGCGUCUGGAAAGGCGCGCGAUACAGGGUGACAGCCCCGUACACAAAAGCGCAUGUGUUGUGAGCUCGAUGAGUAGGGCGGGACACGUGGUAUCCUGUCUGAAUAUGGGGGGACCAUCCUCCAAGGCUAAAUACUCCUGACUGACCGAUAGUGAACCAGUACCGUGAGGGAAAGGCGAAAAGAACCCCGGCGAGGGGAGUGAAAAAGAACCUGAAACCGUGUACGUACAAGCAGUGGGAGCACAGGUUUACCUGUGUGACUGCGUACCUUUUGUAUAAUGGGUCAGCGACUUAUAUUCUGUAGCAAGGUUAACCGUAUAGGGGAGCCGGAGGGAAACCGAGUCUUAAUUGGGCGUUAAGUUGCAGGGUAUAGACCCGAAACCCGGUGAUCUAGCCAUGGGCAGGUUGAAGGUUGGGUAACACUAACUGGAGGACCGAACCGACUAAUGUUGAAAAAUUAGCGGAUGACCUGUGGCUGGGGGUGAAAGGCCAAUCAAACCGGGAGAUAGCUGGUUCUCCCCGAAAGCUAUUUAGGUAGCGCCUCGUGAAUUCAUCUCCGGGGGUAGAGCACUGUUUCGGCUAGGGGGCCAUCCCGGCUUACCAACCCGAUGCAAACUGCGAAUACCGGAGAAUGUUAUCACGGGAGACACACGGCGGGUGCUAACGUCCGUCGUGAAGAGGGAAACAACCCAGACCGCCAGCUAAGGUCCCAAAGUCAUGGUUAAGUGGGAAACGAUGUGGGAAGGCCCAGACAGCCAGGAUGUUGGCUUAGAAGCAGCCAUCAUUUAAAGAAAGCGUAAUAGCUCACUGGUCGAGUCGGCCUGCGCGGAAGAUGUAACGGGGCUAAACCAUGCACCGAAGCUGCGGCAGCGACACUGUGUGUUGUUGGGUAGGGGAGCGUUCUGUAAGCCUGUGAAGGUGGCCUGUGAGGGUUGCUGGAGGUAUCAGAAGUGCGAAUGCUGACAUAAGUAACGAUAAAGCGGGUGAAAAGCCCGCUCGCCGGAAGACCAAGGGUUCCUGUCCAACGUUAAUCGGGGCAGGGUGAGUCGACCCCUAAGGCGAGGCCGAAAGGCGUAGUCGAUGGGAAAC